rnacentral:rRNA from 1 species
UACAUGUGGGGCAAGCGUUGUUCGGAAUUACUGGGCAUAAAGGGUGCGUAGGCGGUCGGGUAAGUCUGAUGUGAAAUCUCACAGCUUAACUGUGAAACUGCAUUGGAUACUAUCCGGCUCGAGGAAUGGAGGGGAGACUGGAAUACUUGGUGUAGCAGUGAAAUGCGUAGAUAUCAAGUGGAACACCAGUGGCGAAGGAGUCUCUGGACAUUUCCUGACGCUGAGGCACGAAAGCCAGGGGAGCAAACGGG